rnacentral:rRNA from 1 species
ACGGCCAUACCAUGCUGAAUAUACCGGUUCUCGUUAGAUCACCGAAGUCAAGCAUCAUUGGGCGCGGUCAGUACCCAGGGUGGGUGACCACCUGGGAACACCGCGUGCCGUU